rfam:Paenibacillus sp. TNCCL117 genome assembly, contig: FG16DRAFT_scaffold00007.7
AGGUAAUGCCUACUGUACCUUUAUCAUUGUAGGCACUCGGCCAUGCUGUGGGUGAUUUCACCUUAGACAUCUAUUGUCAAGGGUGUGGCGUGAGGGGGGGUUCGAUGCCCC